AUUGAACGCUGGCGGCAGGCCUAACACAUGCAAGUCGAACGAGUGGCGGACGGGUGAGUAAUGUCUGGGAAACUGCCUGAUGGAGGGGUAUAACUACUGGACACGGUAGCUAAUACCGCAUACCAUCGGAUGUGCCCAUAGGGGAUUAGCUAGUAGGUGGGGUAAAGGCUCACCUAGGCGACGAUCCCUAGCUGGGCUGAGGGGAUGACCAGCCACAGUGGAACGGAGACACGGGCCAGACUCCUACGGGGGGCAGCAGUGGGGAAUAUUGCACAAUUGGCGCAAGCCUGCUGCAGCCAGGCCGCGUGUAUGAAGAAGGCCUUCGGGUUGUAAAGUACUUUCAGCGGGGAGGCGUUACCCGCAGAAGAAGCACCGGCUAACUCCGGGCCAGCAGCCGCGGUAAUUC
rnacentral:rRNA from 1 species